rnacentral:rRNA from 1 species
AUUGAACGCUGGCGGCAUGCCUUACACAUGCAAGUCGAACGGUAACAGGUCUUCGGAUGCUGACGAGUGGCGAACGGGUGAGUAAUACAUCGGAACGUGCCCGAUCGUGGGGGAUAACGAAGCGAAAGCUUUGCUAAUACCGCAUAAGAUCUAAGGAUGAAAGCAGGGGACCGCAAGGCCUUGCGCGAACGGAGCGGCCGAUGGCAGAUUAGGUAGUUGGUGGGAUAAAAGCUUACCAAGCCGACGAUCUGUAGCUGGUCUGAGAGGACGACCAGCCACACUGGGACUGAGACACGGCCCAGACUCCUACGGGAGGCAGCAGUGGGGAAUUUUGGACAAUGGGCGAAAGCCUGAUCCAGCCAUGCCGCGUGCAGGAUGAAGGCCUUCGGGUUGUAAACUGCUUUUGUACGGAACGAAAAGACUCUUUCUAAUAAAGAGGGUCCAUGACGGUACCGUAAGAAAUAGCACCGGCUAACUACGUGCCAGCAGCCGCGGUAA